GAUGAACGCUGGCGGCGUGCCUAAUACAUGCAAGUCGAGCGAACUGAUUAGAAGCUUGCUUCUAUGACGUUAGCGGCGGACGGGUGAGUAACACGUGGGCAACCUGCCUGUAAGACUGGGAUAACUUCGGGAAACCGAAGCUAAUACCGGAUAGGAUCUUCUCCUUCAUGGGAGAUGAUUGAAAGAUGGUUUCGGCUAUCACUUACAGAUGGGCCCGCGGUGCAUUAGCUAGUUGGUGAGGUAACGGCUCACCAAGGCAACGAUGCAUAGCCGACCUGCGAGGGUGAUCGGCCACACUGGGACUGAGACACGGCCCAGACUCCUACGGGAGGCAGCAGUAGGGAAUCUUCCGCAAUGGACGAAAGUCUUACGGAGCAACGCCGCGUGAGUGAUGAAGGCUUUCGGGUCGUAAAACUCUGUUGUUAGGGAAGAACAAGUACGAGAGUAACUGCUCGUACCUUGACGGUACCUAACCAGAAAGCCACGGCUAACUACGUGCCAGCAGCCGCGGUAAAAC
rnacentral:rRNA from 1 species